UACAGAGGUGGCAAGCGUUGUUCGGAAUUACUGGGCGUAAAGGGCUCGUAGGUGGCCAACUAAGUCAGACGUGAAAUCCCUCGGCUUAACCGGGGAACUGCGUCUGAUACUGGAUGGCUUGAGUUUGGGAGAGGGACGCGGAAUUCCAGGUGUAGCGGUGAAAUGCGUUGAGAUCCACAGGAACUCCGGUGGCGAAGGCGGCCCGCUGGACCCCAUCUGACGCUGAGGCGCGAAAGCCAGGGGAGCGAACAGG
rnacentral:rRNA from 1 species